rnacentral:rRNA from 2 species
UUAAAUUGAAGAGUUUGAUCAUGGCUCAGAUUGAACGCUGGCGGCAGGCCUAACACAUGCAAGUCGAACGGUAGCACAGAGGAGCUUGCUCCUUGGGU